rnacentral:lncRNA from 1 species
ACCCACCAUUUGCACGAACUAGAUUUUUGAUUGGGUCCCUCACCGUAUCCAAAAUAUUGAGCCCAACCCAUCCUCUAAUCCGUAGCAUCCAAUGCCUAAUAGACAUGGUUGUGUCUUCCUAGUGCAACUGAGCCACUGUAACCAGCCGAGAACAAUCAACCCCGGGAAGGACCCGCACAUCCACAAUGGUGGAAGACCUAGACUUAAUAUUUUCUUAGAAAGAUUUGAUUUAGGUCUCAUUAAACUUGACUUGACAUAGUCAUAACAAUUAUGACUAAUCUAGUGGCAUGGGUUAGCUCGAAUUGUUAGCCACCUCUACUCAGAAUUGAGUCGACACAUAUGGCCAGGUAAGUG